GAUGAACGCUAGCGGCAGGCUUAAUACAUGCAAGUCGAGGGACAGCACAGGUAGCAAUACUGGGUGGUAACCGGCAAGCGGGUGCGGAACACGUACACAACCUUCCUUUAAGUGGGGGAUAGCCCAGAGAAAUUUGGAUUAAUACCCCGUAAUAUAGUUGAAUGGCAUCAUUUGAUUAUUAUAGCUACGGCGCUUAAUGAUGGGUGUGCGGCUGAUUAGAUAGUUGGCGGGGUAACGGCCCACCAAGUCUACGAUCAGUAGCUGAUGUGAGAGCAUGAUCAGCCACACGGGCACUGAGACACGGGCCCGACUCCUACGGGAGGCAGCAGUAAGGAAUAUUGGUCAAUGGACGCAAGUCUGAACCAGCCAUGCCGCGUGAAGGAUUAAGGUCCUCUGGAUUGUAAACUUCUUUUAUUUGGGACGAAAAAGGGUCUUUCUAGGUCAACUGACGGUACCAGAUGAAUAAGCACCGGCUAACUCCGUGCCAGCCGCCGCGGUAA
rnacentral:rRNA from 1 species